rnacentral:rRNA from 1 species
AAGCGGUGGAGCAUGUGGCUUAAUUCGAGGCUACGCGAAGAACCUUAUCCUGGGCUUGACAUGUGCGAAAGCGGCAGGAGGUAGGACCCGGAAACGGGGACGAACGGUAUCCAACCCGGAACCUGCCACAGGUGCUGCAUGGCUGUCGUCAGCUCGUGUCGUGAGAUGUCGGGUUAAGUCCCAUAACGAGCGAAACCCUUACCCUCAGUUGCCAGCCGCAAGGCGCACUCUGGGGGGACUGCCGGUGUCAAACCGGAGGAAGGUGGGGAUG